AUUGAACGCUAGCGGGAUGCCUUACACAUGCAAGUCGAACGGAGUGGCGAACGGGUGAGUAAUGUAUCGGAACGUGCCCAGUAGCGGGGGAUAACUACGCGAAAGCGUAGCUAAUACCGCAUACUAUUAGAGCGGCAGAUAUCGGAUUAGCUAGUUGGGGGGGUAACGGCUCACCAAGGCGACGAUCCGUAGCGGGUUUGGGAGGACGACCAGCCACACUGGGACGUGAAGACGGACCAGAAUCCUACGGGAGGCAGCAGUGGGGAAGUUGGGACAAUGGGGGAAACCCAGAUCCAGCAGUCCCGCGUGUGCGAUGAAGGCCUGCGGGGUUUAAAGCACUUUUUGGAGGAAAGCGUGACCUGCAGAAUAAGCACCGGCUAACUACGUGCCAGCCGCCGCGGUAAUUG
rnacentral:rRNA from 1 species